UACGUAGGGUGCAAGCGUUAAUCGGAAUUACUGGGCGUAAAGCGUGCGCAGGCGGUGAUGUAAGACAGGUGUGAAAUCCCCGGGCUUAACCUGGGAAUUGCAUUUGUGACUGCAUCGCUGGAGUGCGGCAGAGGGGGAUGGAAUUCCGCGUGUAGCAGUGAAAUGCGUAGAUAUGCGGAGGAACACCGACGGCGUAGGCAGCGGCCCCUGGACGACACCUGA
rnacentral:rRNA from 1 species